rnacentral:lncRNA from 1 species
CUAUGCAAUGCUCCAGCGGUAUUUCAGGAUUUCAUUAACGAUGUCCUUAGGGAGUACCUCCACAUGUUCGUUUUAGUGUACCUGGAUGACAUUUUCAUCUAUUCUACAGACCUAGAGACGCAUCACGAACAUGUGAGAAUAGUACUAAAAACCUUGUUAAAAAAAUGGCCUCUACUGUAAACUGGAGAAGUGCCAAUCUGACCAGACCGAGAUACAGUUUCUUGGAUAUGUUAUAUCUUCAUCUGGCUUCAAAUGGACCCUCACAAGUUGGAAGCAGUCUUACAAUGGCUGCCACCCAAAGGCCUUAAAGCUACACAACGCUUUAUAGGUUUUGUGAAUUAUUACUGCAAGUUCAUUAAAGAUUUUUCCUCUUUAAUCUCCCCUAUUACCAAUCUAACCAAAAAAGGAGCAAAUUGCAGUUCAUAGCCCAAGGAAGCAAAGGAGGCAUUUGAACAAUUAAAAUCUUUAUUUGCCGCAGCACCUGUCCUGACACAUCCCGAUCCAACCAAACCAUUUAUUCUAGAAGUAGAUGCGCCAUUCUGUCUCAAAGAGAAAGUCCUGAUACGCCUUUACAUCCCUGUGGGUUUUUCUCUCGGAAACUAACACCUGCAGAGAAAAAUUAUGACAUUGGGAAUAGGGAAUUAUUGACCAUAAUACUUGCACUUAAAGAAUGGAGACAUCUCUUAGCAGGUUCCAAAGAGCCACUUCUGAUUUUUACCGAUCACAAGAAUUUGGCUUAUAUCGGGGACGCUAAGAGAUUGUCCUCUCGCCAGGCUAGAUGGUCAUUGUUCCUCUCCCGAUUUAACUUUGUAAUUACAUAUAGGCCCGGGAUCAAGAACACCAAGGCAGAUGCAUUGUCUAGACAGUUUGAGACAGAUGAGAUUCCUGAACAAGAGGUAUCCCCUAUCAUACCUCAGAAUGCCUUAUUGCUACUACUAUUUCUGAAGUGUCUUCUCCACUCUUCUGUGCUAUAAUCGCAGAUCAAACUCAGGCACCCGUGGAGAGACCUCUGGAUAAACUGUAUGUUUCACCACCAUUAAGAAAAAAGGUACUUGGUUUAUUCCAUGAUAAUCUGACAGCAGGUCAUCCGGGAGUCCAUAAAACUCUCUCUGCUAUCUCCAGGAGGUUCAGGUGGCCUACACUUAGAAAUGACAUCAAGGAUUAUGUAGGGGCAUGUCAAAUAUGUGCCGUUUCUAAAUCCUCUCACAAACCACCUCCUGGCUUGUUACAACCAUUACCUAUACCUACCUGGUUCAUUACCUAUACCUACCAGGUUCAUUUAGCCAUGGAUUUCAUGGUGGGUCUGCCCAGCUCAAACGGGUUUAACACAAUCCUUAUGAUCAUAGAUAGAUUCUCAAGAAUGGCACAUUUUGUACCUCUUAAAAAAUUACCAUCUGCUCAAGAUCUUGUACAAAUAUUUUUAAAAGAGAUAUUUCACUUACAUGGGGUGCCUAAAAACAUAGUUACUGACAGAGGUACCCAAUUUAUUUCUAGGCCUUUUGUAAACAAUUGGGUAUAGAACUUUCAUUUUCCUCCGCAUGUCACCCUCAGUCUAAUGGCACAGCAGAGAGGGCCAAUCAGUCCUUAGAAUCUUAUUUACGUUGUUUUAAUCAAUGCCAAUCAGUCUAACUGGUAUGAACUCUUACCCAUGGCUGAGUUUGCCAGAAAUAAUAAUACUCAUGAAUCCUCUAAUCAUAGUCCAUUUUAUGUAAAUCAGGGUUAUCACCCCACUGUUUUUCCCUUCUGCCUUGAACACUUGUUUAAAUUAUAUUCAUGACACUUGGGAUUCCGUUCAUACAGCAUUACAAAAGGCAUCAAAACGUGCUAAAAUCCAAGCUGACAAGAGACGGGGUGCCAAUCCUGUUUACCAACCAGAUGACAAGGUGUGGCUGUCCACACGUCAUAUCAAACUUAAAGUUCCUUCCAUGAAAUUUGCCCCUCGGUACAUCGGUCCUUUUCGGAUCCUCCGCCGUAUCAACCCUGUGACUUAUUCCUUGGCACUCCCUGUCCACAUGAGAAUCGCCAAUUCAUUUCAUGUAUCAUUGCUCAAGCCUCUUACUUGCAAUCGAUACACUAGUGUUUCCGCUCCUCCUCCGCCCUUGGUAGUGGGUGACCAGGAGGAGUACGAGGUUUGUUCUGUUUUAGACUCCAAAAUCUCCAGGGGUAUUUUGUCUUAUCUUGUUGGCUGGAAAGGAUAUGGUCCAGAGGAACGUUGUUGGGUUCCUGCCGACCAGGUUCAUGCACCCCAUCUUGUCCGGUCGUUUCUCAACCGCUUUCCUCAUAAGCCAGCUCCUUCCCGCCCGGUGAGCGGUCUUCGAGUGGGGGGUACUGUUGCAGCUCCUGACCCGCCGGGUGCCGCAGCCGUACCCGACUGGCACAGUCUCACCUACACCACGAGCUUACCUGCUGUGUUGGACCACACUAGCUGCCGUGACACUGCUUCAAUCCCUUUGUGUUUGAAUUGCAAAAUAUAGUUGGUUUGGUAAUGAUCCAAUAAAAAUUACUUUUGUUCUUAAGCAGCAUAGUAAGAAAAGUGCCGUUGAUGAAUACAAAUACAGCACUUGGCUGAUUUCAGUCAAACCUCUUUAAAAUGCUUUGUAGAGAAAUAAAACUAUAAAUUUCAACAUUUAUUAAGGUCUUCUUGAAUAUUUGCUGUGUUUAUGAUAUAUUCUAACUUUAGGAAUGUAAACAUGAGUUUAAUAUGUCAUAUACCCUCCGGUGAAUGGGCCUCGCCACAGCUACCACUCCACCCCUGGCUGAAAUCACCAGUACUGAACAUUUAGGAAGGCAGCCGUCAUACACCAAUCAUCAUUCUUAUAGAGAUGAAUUGGCUCAGUGCAUCUCUAAGGUGACCCGUCAACUUUUGCAGGACCACAACCAGGAAGCCCUCUAGUGGCUAUCUGAGUGACAGCCACUAGAGGUAGUCAUAGGAGGCAAUGUAAACCUUGCCUUUUCUCAGGAAACGCAAUGUUUACUACUGAAACUGUAGGGACAAUACUUUUGUCCCAGAACCACUAGAUUAUGCUGUAAUGGUUCUGGUGCUUAUAAAAAACUUUUAAAAAUAGCAUUACUGUAUUGUUUGCAUAUUCUGCACAAAGGUCAGAAAUAAUUAUCUAAUAAUAAUGAUUAUCCCCUUCCUGAAAAGGGAUUUGUCAAGUUCAAUUACAUCUUGUUUGUCCUGGAAUGCCUUCGAUCACAAAUGGGUUCAGUUUGUACAAAAAGAUUACCAUUAUAUUUUAUUUAUGAAAAUGAAUGUUUAUAUCUUAUAAAUUAUGUACUUGAGGCAAAUAUUUUUAGCAUCUUUAGAAUGUAUUGUGUAC